UUUUCACCAUUAACAGAUUUAUGCUUAUUCUGAACAAUGCAUUUUGCAAAUGUUAAUAUUUAGAUCAAAUCAAAUAGAUGCAAGAGUUAAAAAUGAACUGUGCCAUGAUUUUUGGAUUGAUGGUAAAACUGUAGAAAACAACUGGAUGGAAUUUUUACAUGCAGUUCAAAUGCAGAAAUCUUAAUGUGUUUGUUUGACUGGGGACGCAGCUGAACUCUGCAGGACGAUGUCUCAUUUCCGGUUGUUUUACAGUAGAAGCAUUCUCAGGUUUGAGAUGCUGCAGAACUGGUGCUAUCUUACUCCAUUUAGAUGAUGUACCCAAGUCUUAAGAGUGUUGUUUUAUGCAUUUAAUUGUUUUGCAAGAUGCAAUGCAUCAUACACUAUAUACACUCAUUAUGUGCUUUUUAAAACUACACUUGAGCGAAAACCCUUCGUUUUGUAGUUACGCAAAAAAAAGUUUUUAACUUUAAUCAUACUUUUACUUUGUUUAUGGUUCAUAGUAUCAUAUUCUGGACAUAUGUAGAAUAUAUUAGUACCCGCUUUUUAUCUUCCUCUCACGUGGGAAAAAAUGUGAAUACCUUGAAAUCAAUCUUUGCAAUGGGGAAAAAACUCUACUGAUCACCAAAUGUUUGUUUCCCUUGGCAACUGCGGGUUUUCUGAGACCUGGUGUUCUUUGCUUUAUCUUGACAGAAAGCUGUUCUAGAUGUUUUUGGUUUGGGUGCGACGGAGGUGAAGCGUUUGGGACGUGCAGCACUGAGCUGACGUCAGGCUCUCGUUUAGGCUGUUACUGUACUUUUCUAUAAUGCUCUGUUCUACAAGCCCAGUAUUUAUAUUCUUGUCAUGAAUGAAGUUCCAGAUGUUUCCUCCCUUUUCAGACCGUGUUCAGAGAGAUGUAAACAGUUGUGCCUCAUCACAAUACAUCAACUGAAACACACACACUACUCUCUCAGCGUCCAGUGUUCCAUUAUAUUCAUAUUCAUUCACUUUUAUCCAGCAGAAGAGCAAUAUUUGAGAUGAGAAUUGCAUUUAUGUUCUGAUUCCAUUAACGAUACGUUUUAGUGCUUUUAAGGAAUCACUAAAUAAUGUUGUACCAUUUGAACUGAAUAAGAGUCAUUUGUUUGUGAGAGUCAUUUGUUACACUGUGCAUGGUGUAUGUUUGUUACUGUGCAGCCAGCAGGAAGUUCACACUGUUAUUCUUGCGUUUGCCAUGUGUUUUUUUGUUUUCCUUUUGUUUUUUUUGUUUUUUUUACCCAGUACCCAGUGUUUGUCAUGUUCAGUUUAGACUGAAGACUCAAGUUUUGCUUUAAUGCUGUGGAAAAUCUUGUUCAGUCACUUAGUUUGAUGUUCCAAUCAUAUCAGUAGAAGUGUAUUGAGCAUAAAGAACCAUUAUUGGAAUUGGAACAUAAUGAAAAUCAUACACAUACACAUACUGCUGAUCAAAAGUUUGUAAUAUUAAAAUAAAUAAAUA